rnacentral:rRNA from 1 species
GACGAACGCUGGCGGCGUGCUUAACACAUGCAAGUCGAACGAAGUGGCGGACGGGUGAGUAACGCGUAAGCAACCUCCCCUUCAGAGGGGGACAACAGUUGGCAAGGACUGCUAAUACCCCAUACUGAAUGAGGGGAUGGCGUCUGAUUAGCUGUUUGGAGGGGUAACGGCCCACCAAGGCGAUGAUAAGUAGCCGGUUUGAUGGGAUGAACGGUCCCAUUGGGACGGAGACAAGGCCCAGACUCGUACGGGAGGCAGCAGUGGUGAAUCUUCCGCAAUGGACGAAAGUCUGACGGAGCAACGCCGCGUGAGUGAUGACGGUCUUCGGGUUGUAAAGCUCUGUUAAGCGGGACGCGGUACCGGAAUAGAAAGCCACGGCUAACUACGUGCCAGCAGCCGCGGUAAUUC